GAUUAAGUUAUUAAGGGCGCACGGUGGAUGCCUUGGCACUAGAAGCCGAUGAAGGACGUUACUAACGACGAUAUGCUUUGGGGAGCUGUAAGUAAGCUUUGAUCCAGAGAUUUCCGAAUGGGGAAACCCAGCAUGAGUUA
rnacentral:rRNA from 1 species